UGCGGGGUCUGCUAAUGGUAGGCAUACGGACUCUGAAUCCGUCAAUCAUGGUUCGAAUCCAUGCCCCGCAG
rnacentral:tRNA from 1 species